rnacentral:tRNA from 14 species
GCGUGGCUCGGCCGGAGUCGCGCGGCUUCCUGCGCCGCGCGCAGCGCCUCGUCGUUGCGCCCCGCGGCCUUGUGC